CCUCAGAGACAUGAUGGCCAGAAGGAGCCAUUCCAAGUUAUGGCUGCUGUCAGAUUUUCCCCCAGGACUGCUAUACUCCACCAGAACCUCAGUGAAGGCACCAUUUUGCCCUGCUGACAAGUAGGAAGCCAAAGGAAAGGAUCUCAGAUCCAUCCAAGCAUGUGGAAAAUCUCAAGUGAUUGGACUCUGGAUCUCUCCCGCAGUCUUCAGACUUCCUUCUGAGGUUAAUCUCUUCACAGCUCCACCUGCAGAACAUUACCCUGAUUUCUAGCAUAACCAGGAUUCCUGACUUGGACCCCCCGUAGCUUCACUAACUUCUCAAGGUUCCUUAUUGCAAAUCAGUGCCAAUGCUGAAGAGCUAAUUGAAAGAAAGCCUUCAUGUUUUAAAUCACAAGUAUAAUUUUAGCUUGUUUCCUGAGUUUUGAAUCUUGACCAGAACACUGAAGUACCUGGGUUGGGUGAGAUAGGCCAACUGGAAGGCUCCAAGAAUCCAACCUUCAUGCUGCACUUCAGAAGUUCCCGUAACUCUCUAAAAGUCCUCACAGAAGAUUUUUGACAACAUAAGGUGGCACUGAAGGGACAAUCAUUUACCCUCAGUCAAAUAAGGCACAGAUAUUUCCUGAAGAUAAACUUGCCUCUGAAUUUUAAUGUUCCUGUGCAAAAAAAUACUUUCCAUUUCUCCAAGAACUGCGUGCUGUUUCUGAUCAUUAACCUCAUUGAGUCAUUAAAUUUUCAACUUAAAAUCUGUUGCUUUAUUAUAAAAGUAAAAAAAAAAAAAAAAAAAUUGAUUUAUUAUAAU